UACGAAGGUGGCAAGCGUUGUUCGGAUUUACUGGGCGUACAGGGAGCGUAGGCGGUUCGGUAAGCCCUCCGUGAAAUCUCCAGGCUUAACCUGGAAAGUGCAGAGGGGACUGCUGGGCUAGAGGAUGGGAGAGGAGCGCGGAAUUCCCGGUGUAGCGGUGAAAUGCGUAGAGAUCGGGAGGAAGGCCGGUGGCGAAGGCGGCGCUCUGGAACAUUUCUGACGCUGAGGCUCGAAAGCGUGGGGAGCAAACAGG
rnacentral:rRNA from 2 species